UACGUAGGGUGCGAGCGUUAAUCGGAAUUACUGGGCGUAAAGCGUGCGCAGGCGGUUUGUUAAGACAGAUGUGAAAUCCCCGGGCUUAACCUGGGAACUGCAUUUGUGACUGGCAAGCUAGAGUAUGGCAGAGGGGGGUAGAAUUCCACGUGUAGCAGUGAAAUGCGUAGAGAUCGGAAAGAACGCCAACGGCGAAAGCACUCUGCUGGGCCGACACUGACACUGAGAGACGAAAGCUAGGGGAGCGAAUGGG
rnacentral:rRNA from 1 species